CGAAAGUGGAAAAAUGCAUGAAAUGGAAAUUUUUCUUUAGCAGUGAGCAUGCCCGCCGGGGCGGGCUAUAAUUGCCUUGUACCCCCCGCCGGGGCGGGGGUGUCGAUUCCUGGAGUCUCCUGGUUAGCCUUGAAUUCUGUUGGGACUUGGUUUGUGGGACUUUGAUGAUGCGCAUGGAUUCUAAUAAAAGGGGACUUCGGCCAAAACAGAGGGAGAGCUAGAGAUUACGUUAUAAACAACAAAUCACACAACACAAAAAGCAUAUUACAAAGAUAAAUUUCAGGAUUCAAGUGCAAGCUUUGGAGGAGUAAUUUGAAGAGAUUUUCGUGACGGUUGCAAUUCUAGGCUACGUGAAGGGUGUUCAUUAUUCUUCUUCUCUUUAGUCUUUUAUUUGUAAUUGCAAGGAUGUUUUCGUUAGAUUAUUCAGUUUUUAAUUCAUUCGUUAUGAACUAAUUCGCUUAUUAGGCUUGUGAUGGAUCCUUGGGUGAAACGAUGAUUUUAUAACUUUGAUUUCCAG
rnacentral:lncRNA from 1 species